GGCCCCAUGGUCAAGCGGUUAAGACAUCGCCCUCUCACGGCGGGUUCUCGGGUUCGAAUCCCGAUGGGGUCACCA
rnacentral:tRNA from 3 species